rnacentral:rRNA from 1 species
AGCAGCCGCGGUAAUUCCAGCUCCAAUAGCGUAUAUUAAAGUUGCUGCAGUUAAAAAGCUCGUAGUUGAAUUUCGGAACCAAUAUGUUGGUUGUGCCUCGGUACGUACUGGCAUUGUUGGUUUCUCUCUUCUGACGAACUAUGAUGUCAUUAAUUUGGUGUCAUGGGGAAUCAGGACUGUUACUUUGAAAAAAUUAGAGUGUUUAAAGCAGGCUCACGCUUGAAUACAUUAGCAUGGAAUAAUGAAAUAGGACGUUUGAUUCUAUUUUGUUGGUUUCUAGGAUUGACGUAAUGAUUAAUAGGGAUAGUUGGGGGCAUUAGUAUUCAAUUGUCAGAGGUGAAAUUCUUGGAUUUAUUGAAGACUAACUACUGCGAAAGCAUUUGCCAAGGAUGUUUUCAUUAAUCAAGAACGAAAGUUAGGGGAUCGAAGACGAUCAGAUACCGUCGUAGU